AAAAAGAAAAUCAUCUCUAAUAUUUGAGUUUUAAUUAUAAGAAUAUGUAAAUUAUUUUAAAAUAGAAAAUAUAAUCGGGUCAUUGAUCGGGUAAAUGGGUCAAGAAUUUUAACCCAAACCCGACACGGAAAAAAAUCGUGUUGACCCAGACCCGACCCAUUUAAUAAUCGUGUUAAAUUUGACGACCCAUACCCAUUUAUUUAUGUCGUGUUCGUGUCGGGUAAUCGGGUCGUGUCAAAUUUUGCCAGCUCUACUU
rnacentral:lncRNA from 1 species